rnacentral:rRNA from 1 species
CCGCCCGUCACAUCACGAAAGCCAUUUGUACUAGAAGCCGGUGAUUCAAUCGCAAGGAGAUAGCCGUCCAAGGUAUGAAUGGUGAUUGGGGUG